UUAACAGACACAGACGACCCUGAAGAUGGAAACGUUUUCUUCCAAAUUGUGCUGCACGUUUUUGGCGAGAGCAUGGGGCUGUGCGGCGUCCCCUCCCUGGCGCCCACCUGUGCCCUGCACACUGGCCUGCACUGUGGUGAUCUCGCUUGGCCCCCACCUGAUUCCCGACAUACAGCAGAGGAACCUUAGGCUCAGGUGGAACAGCCUCAACUGAUUCUGUCCCUGAACUUCCGUACACAGCCCUGGAGUCG
rnacentral:lncRNA from 1 species